AAGGAGCAUCAACUGGCCGGGGUCGCCUCGUGAGAGGGAUCUGGGUCGGUGGCCGCCGUUGACAGCGAAUGUCUGUCAGGUGGCUGCUCAUAGAUGUGGAGCACUGGUUAUUCACUAGGCCGCUCAUGCGGCCCGGCUAGUACCGUCCUGCAGCUUCGGCUGGAGGGAAUGGGAACGGCGGGUUCGGGUGGUUGGUCUGGUGGACACGCUGUUGGGUCCUGAGGGAACGGGCGCGAGCUCGGGUGACCUCGGACUACGGGACCAGGACCGCAUCAUCUUCGGGUGGUGUGGUUUUGGUGGGCCCGGUUGUUUUUUGAGAACUGCACAGUGGACGCGAGCAUCUCUGGUAGAUGAUGAGAGCCGCCUGGAGAGGGACCCUGCCUUUUGGUGAGGGUUCUUUGAGGGUUGUUUUGUUGUUUAUCUGCGAUUUGUUCUGAUCGUUUUGU
rnacentral:misc_RNA from 1 species